rnacentral:tRNA from 1 species
CAACUGGUGGCUCAGAUGGUAAAGAAUCUGCCUGCAAUGCAGGAGACCCUGGUUCAAUUCCUGGGUUGG